rnacentral:lncRNA from 1 species
GGCAUCACAUACUUGACUUCAGAGAAGGAGUCUCACUGUGUAACCAAGUCUGGUCUCCAAUUCCUGGCCUCAAGUGAUCCUCCCAUCUGGACCUCCCAAAGCACUGGGAUUACAGAGAUUUGAAGAAGCAAACUGGGCUAUUGUCAGCAUCUGUGUGGAGAGGUUCAGAUGACAAGGAACUGAGGACUGCCUCUGAUCAACAGCCCGGAAGAAAGAGAUAUCUUUUCUCAGCAAGUAGCAGUUCUUUUCUACAGUCAAGCCUCAGUUCAUCCUAUUUCCAACUGUCUGGAAGAAUGGUCCACAAAGGAGCCACGAUAAGAUGACUGAAAAGAAACCUCCAGUGAUCAUCCCCCCACAGGGGGAAAACAAAAUUGAACAACUAUUCAUGCAAGAAAGCACCUUCAUAAGAACUAA